GGGCUCUCUGAUUGACGUCUCUCACAGUCAAUCCAAAUAUUUCCUUAUGAAUGCGAAUUUCCUGAAAUUUGCGAAAAGGACUGGCGAAACGGAGUUGACUUUGAGCAGUAGAUCAGACCUAAACUUCUAACGAGAUAUUGUGACAACAGGAGCAAGUCGCUCUACACCCACUCUCAGUCUUGAAGAAGGGUUACACCUGAAACGUUGACUUCUCCACCUCCUGAUGCUAUCUGGCUGAUGCUGUGUUCUUCCAGCCUCCUGCCUGUCUAUUCUGUUUACAGCCCAGCUGGAAACCAGCACAUGAUUGUGAGGACACCAUGAUUAAAGCAUCUUCAACCAAUAAUAAAGGAUUGCUCUGUACUACACCAGAAAAUGCAGAGAGGAUAGACACCGCAGAGAGAUCCUGACCAUCACCCAAGGAACGACUGCACAACUGUGGGAAGACAUCUGGUUUCUUUGCAGUAUUGCUCAACACAGAAAAGAUUAGGCAGUGAGACUAUCAUCUAGAAAUUGGUUAGGUUGGGGGAGCUUUGACACAUCAUCAGAUCUGAAACUGGUCAGUGAUGUGGAGCCUUCCAUCAGAACUAACCUUUCUGAAGGUUUGGCUAUGGGUGAUCAGUCAGGGUGAGGUUGGGAAGAAGUGUGAGGGGCUUGAAAUGUGGUGAGAGCUUCAAUCAUUCAUCAAGCUUCAUAAAGCAUGGACUUAAUCCUACUGGUGAGAAGGUGUUCAUGUGCAAGGUAUGUGUGUAAGACUCCAUAGGCUUAUAAGAACCCCAAUGAUACAAGAUUCAUCCAUUGUACAACUAUUAGAUUAGAUUAGGUUACAUUACAGUGUGGAAACAGGCCCUUCGGCCCAACAAGUCCACACCGACCCGC